GUUCCCAUAGUUAAAUGGAUAUAACAAGCGCCUGCUAAGCACUAGUUGUGGGUUCGAUUCUUGCUGAGAACA
rnacentral:tRNA from 1 species